GAAAAAUUCAUUUAGCAUUUGACGUUCGUUAAUUUUUAACAAAGAGUGACAUCUUUAGCACUAUUAGCAUAAAUCGUGUUUAUCAAAACACAAUUUUACCUUAACAAAAAAAAUUAAAAAAAAAAUAAUUAUAAAAUCCCAGAGACUUUUUUCCUCCUCCAAAAUCAAAAUGACUGUCAUUUAUCCCAAAUCAAUUACUGUCAUCUUCUACCCAAAAUAACUGACGAACUCCAGCUUCCUCAAACAACAACUGUGGAUAAAUUCCAUCUAGUCGGGUUUGAUAAUCUUUGCCAUACCCACAAGGUUUCCCCAUUUUUUUCAACCACCUUAAGCAUUUCGCCAUUGGAAACCUAGAGCAAGCCGUUAUGAUUAUUGGGUUUUUCUACCUCCACAGGCUGGCGAUUCAAUUCAAUGCAAAUCAAAAUCAUAUAAAAAAAACAACAGAUUUUGAAGCGAUUUUAGAUUCCUCGGCUCGUGCAAAAACUGCUAGAACUUAAGAUCCAAAUUCCUUUCCAAAGCCUCAUUCCUGAGAACAAAGAUUGAAAUAUUAUGUUUCGAAACUGCCUCUUCAAGGGUUUGUAAAAAAAGUGUUGUUUCUACGAGUUUUGAUAAUUCAGUAUAGUGAGAAUCCAAAAAGGUAACAAGAACUGAGUUGGAGUUGAUUUGGAUUAAGUUUGAGGACCCUACAACUGAGUUUUUGGCGGAUGAAUUUUGAUUUUGUUGCAAUGCAACACUUGUUAUGGCAAGAACAGUGGAGAUUGUAUAGACUCCAUAGAUGUGAACAUAUUUCAAACACAAGUAAAUUUAAAUGAAAAAGGUUUUCGG
rnacentral:lncRNA from 1 species